rnacentral:rRNA from 1 species
UACGUAGGGGGCGAGCGUUGUCCGGAUUUAUUGGGCGUAAAACGCUUGUAGGUGGGCUACGUCAAGUCGGACGUGAAAUCUCCCGGCUUAACUGGGAGGGUCGCUCGAUACUGGCGAGCUCGAGGCAGGUAGGGGGAAGCGGAAUUCCCGGUGUAGUGGUGGAAUGCGUAGAUAUCGGAGGAGAACCACGUGGCGAAGGCGGGCU